CUACGGGUUGCAGCAGUGGGGAAUAUUGCACAAUGGAGGAAACUCUGACGCAGCAACGCCGCGUGGAGGAUGACACUUUUCGGAGCGUAAACUCCUUUUAUAUAGGAAGAAGAUGACGGUACUAUAUGAAUAAGCGCCGGCUAACUCCGUGCCAGCAGCCGCGGUAAUACGGAGGGCGCAAGCGUUACUCGGAAUCACUGGGCGUAAAGAGCGUGUAGGCGGAUUAAAAAGCCAGAAGUGAAAUCCUAUAGCUUAACUAUAGAACUGCUUCUGAAACUCUUAAUCUAGAAUAUGGGAGAGGUAGAUGGAAUUUCUGGUGUAGGGGUAAAAUCCGUAGAGAUCAGAAGGAAUACCGAUUGCGAAGGCGAUCUACUAGAACAUUAUUGACGCUGAGACGCGAAAGCGUGGGGAGCAAACAGGAUUAGAUACCCUAGUAGUC
rnacentral:rRNA from 1 species